GACGAACGCUGGCGGCGUGCUUAACACAUGCAAGUCGAACGGCAGCACGGGGGCAACCCUGGUGGCGAGUGGCGAACGGGUGAGUAAUAUAUCGGAACGUGCCCAGUCGUGGGGGAUAACGUAGCGAAAGUUACGCUAAUACCGCAUACGAUCUACGGAUGAAAGCGGGGGAUCGCAAGACCUUGCGCGAUUGGAGCGGCCGAUAUCAGAUUAGGUAGUUGGUGGGGUAAAGGCUCACCAAGCCAACGAUCUGUAGCUGGUCUGAGAGGACGACCAGCCACACUGGGACUGAGACACGGCCCAGACUCCUACGGGAGGCAGCAGUGGGGAAUUUUGGACAAUGGGCGCAAGCCUGAUCCAGCCAUUCCGCGUGCAGGACGAAGGCCUUCGGGUUGUAAACUGCUUUUGUACGGAACGAAAAAGCCUUGGCUAAUACCCAGGGUCCAUGACGGUACCGUAAGAAUAAGCACCGGCUAACUACGUGCCAGCCGCCGCGGUAA
rnacentral:rRNA from 1 species